GUUGGUCACAACAGCAGGAACUUCUGUGCCUGCUCAAACUACAGACCUGGGAACAUCUGGAAGGUGGCCACUGCAGUUCUUCAGGGUAGGCAGCAUCUGUGUGCCCAGCACUGCACCCAUCACCACACUGCAGAAAAGAAAGGAAGCUCAUCUUCUCAUCCCUUAGAUUUUACAUUGUGUGGCACAAAUUCUGGUGAGCUUUUGCCUGUACAUUGUGUAAGCAGUGGAAGUAUUUGCAGUGUUUCUGUUUGUUGAUGUCCUGAGGCAUGGAAUUCCUCGAGUUCCACAGACUGCAUUUGCAUGAAUUUCCUGUUAUUUCUCACUUUGAACAUGAGUUUGGGAAGACAGAGGAGUGUGAUCUCUGUUUUCUGAGCCCUGCUGCAGCAAGAGUUGUUUUAUGGGAACAAAGCACCUGCAGAGGACAAGAAUAUAUCUGUUGGUGAGCGCACAACUGUAGCGAAACACCAGGAACUCUGCUGGUGUUUUCAUCUCUGUAUUGAAGCUUAGAGACCACAGAGAAGUCCAGGACCGUCCAGUCCUUCCUGCUCAUCGAAAGGUUCUUCCCAAUUCCUAAGAAGUCUGAGUGCCUUGAAGGCCAAGUGCAUCUACGCCAGAACUGCUCCAGUUGGAUGGGAUGUUGCACAGAGUGAAACUGGGGACUGAUUCUCUAAGGACACACAAGAUGUUUAUGCUUCCAGUCAAGGCAUGUAACUUUUGGUCGUCCUGAUCACACAGAGGAUCAGGAGGGCUCAAGGGUGGGAUUCUUGGAAGCCAGUGUGCUCAGAGCUACUCCAGUAGGCCAGGGGGUAAUGUCCUAUGCCCCACACAGGCAUUUUGGGUGGGAGGCAGGAAGCUUUGUGCACCACAAGCUGCACGUAGGGAGGAAGAAUGAAGCAGUGCCUCUUGCAUGAUCCCUGAUCUGUGGUGCUGAGCUGGAAAUGCAGCUGUCCAGAAAAUCUCAUCCCCAUUGUAGAGAGGGUAAGAUGUGUUAGAAAAGACAAGGGCAGAUGAAUUAUAACAUGCUAUUCCUUUUCAAAUCUUUG